rnacentral:rRNA from 1 species
AUUGAACGCUGGCGGCAUGCUUUACACAUGCAAGUCGGACGAGUGGCGAACGGGUGAGUAACGCAUCGGCACGUGCCGAUUAAUUGGGGCUAACUGUCCGAAAGGACAGCUAAUACCGCAUACUAUUCGAGCGGCCGAUUGCUGAUUAUCUGGUUGGCGGGGUAAAGGCCCACCAAGGCGACGAUCAGUAGCGGGGCUGAGAGGAUGAUCGGCCACACUGGGAUGGAGACACGGCCCAGACUCCUACGUGAGGCAGCAGUGGGGAAUUUUGGACAAGGGGCGCAAGCCUGAUCCAGCCAUGCCGGGUGUCUGAAGAAGGCCUUCGGGUUGUAAAGGACUUUUGUCAGGGAAGCGGUACCUGAAGAAUAAGCACCGGCUAACUACGUGCCAGCCGCCGCGGUAAUUC